GAGGAAAAGAAACUAACAAGGAUUCCCCUAGUAACUGCGAGUGAAGCGGGAAAAGCUCAAAUUUAAAAUCCGGCGGUCUUUGGCCGUCCGAGUUGUUAUCUAGAGAAGUGUUAUCCGCGCUGGACCGUGUACAAGUCUCCUGGAAUGGAGCGUCAUAGAGGGUGAGAAUCCCGUCUUUGACACGGACUGCCAGGGCUUUGUGAUGCGCUCUCAAAGAGUCGAGUUGUUUGGGAAUGCAGCUCAAAAUGGGUGGUAAAUUCCAUCUAAAGCUAAAUAUUGGCGAGAGACCGAUAGCGAACAAGUACCGUGAGGGAAAGAUGAAAAGAACUUUGGAAAGAGAGUUAAACAGUACGUGAAAUUGCUGAAAGGGAAACGCUUGAAGUCAGUCGCGUUGUCUGGGGAUCAACCUUGCUUUUGCUGGGCGUACUUUCCAGAUGACGGGUCAGCAUCAAUUUUGACCGUUGGAUAAAGUCUGGAGGAAUGUGGCAUCUUCGGAUGUGUUAUAGCCUCUAGUUGCAUACAACGGUUGGGAUUGAGGAACUCAGCACGCCGCAAGGCCGGGUACUUGUACCACGUUCGUGCUUAGGAUGCUGGCAUAAUGGCUUUAAUCGACCCGUCUUGAAACACGGACCAAGGAGUCUAACAUGCCUGCGAGUAUUUGGGUGGAAAACCCGAGUGCGUAAUGAAAGUGAAAGUUGAGAUCCUUGUCAUGGGGAGCAUCGACGCCCGGACCAGACCUUUUGUGACGGAUCUGCGGUAGAGCAUGUAUGUUGGGACCCGAAAGAUGGUGAACUAUGCCUGAAUAGGGUGAAGCCAGAGGAAACUCUGGUGGAGGCUCGUAGCGAUUCUGACGUGCAAAUCGAUCGUCAAAUUUGGGUAUAGGGGCGAA
rnacentral:rRNA from 1 species